CCCAAGCGACUGUUUAUCAAAAACACAGGUCUCUGCAAAAUCGUAAGAUGAAGUAUAGGGGCUGACGCCUGCCCGGUGCUGGAAGGUUAAGAGGAGUGCUUAGCGUAUGCGAAGGUACGAAUUGAAGCCCCAGUAAACGGCGGCCGUAACUAUAACGGUCCUAAGGUAGCGAAAUUCCUUGUCGGGUAAGUUCCGACCCGCACGAAAGGCGUAACGAUUUGGGCACUGUCUCAACGAGAGACUCGGUGAAAUUUUAGUACCUGUGAAGAUGCAGGUUACCCGCGACAGGACGGAAAGACCCCAUGGAGCUUUACUGUAGUUUGAUAUUGAGUGUCUGUACCGCAUGUACAGGAUAGGUAGGAGCCGUAGAAAUCGGAACGCUAGUUUCGAUGGAGGCGCUGGUGGGAUACUACCCCUGCGUUAUG
rnacentral:rRNA from 1 species